rnacentral:rRNA from 1 species
UACAGACAGUGCAAGCGUUAUUCGGAUUGAUUGGGCGUAAAAGGUAUGUAGGUGGCUAUUUAAACGGAGUGCGAAAUACUAGAGUAUAACUGUAGGCGGGCACUUUACAAUUAUUUAGCUUGAGUUAGGGAGAGGUCGGUAGAAUUUCUUUUGAAGGGGUAAAAUUCCACGAUAAUUGAACGAAUACCAAAAGCGAAGGCAUCCCUCCAGCCUUAACUGACGCUGAGGUACGAAAGCAUGGGGAGCAAACAGG